CGGUGGAGCAUGUGGCUUAAUUCGAAGCAACGCGAAGAACCUUACCAGGUCUUGACAUCCUCUGAAAACCCUAGAGAUAGGGCUUCUCCUUCGGGAGCAGAGUGACAGGUGGUGCAUGGUUGUCGUCAGCUCGUGUCGUGAGAUGUUGGGUUAAGUCCCGCAACGAGCGCAACCCUUGAUCUUAGUUGCCAUCAUUAAGUUGGGCACUCUAAGGUGACUGCCGGUGACAAACCGGAGGAAGGUGGGGAUGACGUCAAAUCAUCAUGCCCCUUAUGACCUGGGCUACACACGUGCUACAAUGGACGGUACAAAGAGCUGCAAGACCGCGAGGUGGAGCUAAUCUCAUAAAACCGUUCUCAGUUCGGAUUGUAGGCUGCAACUCGCCUACAUGAAGCUGGAAUCGCUAGUAAUCGCGGAUCAGCAUGCCGCGGUGAAUACGUUCCCGGGCCUUGUACACACCGCCCGUCACACCACGAGAGUUUGUAACACCCGAAGUCGGUGGGGUAACCUUUUUGGAGCCAGCCGCCUAAGGUGGGACAGAUGAUUGGGGUGAAGUCGUAACAAGGAAUCUCUGGAAGAUCCGCGCGUAC
rnacentral:rRNA from 1 species